rnacentral:rRNA from 1 species
CGCGUAGGCGGUAAUGAAAGUCAGAUGUGAAAUACUUCGGCUCAACUGAAGAACUGCAUCUGAAACUUCAUAACUAGAGUACGGAAGAGGGAAAUGGAAUUCCCGGUGUAGAGGUGAAAUUCGUAGAUAUCGGGAGGAACACCAGUGGCGAAGGCGAUUUCCUGGUCUGGUACUGACGCUGAGGCGCGAAAGUGUGGGGAGCAAAACAG